AUACGUUAGCUCAAACAGUUCAGUUAACCAUUUCCAUCAUUUUCUGCUUCAAUUAUUUUCAACGAAACUAUCCACAGAUCCAUUUUAGAUUCACCUAUGGCUCCAGCAGCAGCAACAUCUUCAGAUUCUAUAAAGCCAAGAGAUGUUGUGUGUUGUUGGUGUUGCACGUACUCCAAUGGGUGGAUUCUCGGCUCUCUGUC